rnacentral:rRNA from 1 species
GAUGAACGCUGGCGGCGUGCCUAAUACAUGCAAGUCGAGCGAACAGACGAGGAGCUUGCUCCUCUGACGUUAGCGGCGGACGGGUGAGUAACACGUGGAUAACCUACCUAUAAGACUGGGAUAACUUCGGGAAACCGGAGCUAAUACCGGAUAAUAUAUUGAACCGCAUGGUUCAAUAGUGAAAGACGGUUUUGCUGUCACUUAUAGAUGGAUCCGCGCCGCAUUAGCUAGUUGGUAAGGUAACGGCUUACCAAGGCAACGAUGCGUAGCCGACCUGAGAGGGGGGUUGGCCACACUGGAACUGGGACACGGUCCAGACUCCUACGGGAGGCCGCAGUAGGGAAUCUUCCGCAAUGGGCGGAAGCCUGACGGAGCAACGCCGCGUGAGUUAUGAAGGUCUUCGGAUCGUAAAACUCUGUUAUUAGGGAAGAACAAAUGUGUAAGUAACUAUGCACGUCUUGACGGUACCUAAUCAGAAAGCCACGGCUAACUACGUG